rnacentral:rRNA from 1 species
AAUUGGAGGGCAAGUCUGGUGCCAGCAGCCGCGGUAAUUCCAGCUCCAAUAGCGUAUAUUAAAGUUGUUGCAGUUAAAAAGCUCGUAGUUGAAUUUCGGGAUCAAUAUUUCGGUCAUGCCGUUGGUAUGCACUGUUAUCAUUGAUUUCUCACCUUCUAAAGAACCGUAAUGCCAUUAAUUUGGUGUUACGGGGAAUUAGGACUGUUACCUUGAAAAAAUUAGAGUGUUUAAAGCAGGCUCACGCUUGAAUACAUUAGCAUGGAAUAAUGAAAUAGGACAUCCGAUUCUAUUUUGUUGGUUUCUAGGAUCGAUGUAAUGAUUAAUAGGGAUAGUUGGGGGCAUUAGUAUUCAAUUGUCAGAGGUGAAAUUCUUGGAUUUAUUGAAGACUAACUACUGCGAAAGCAUUUGCCAAGGAUGUUUUCAUUAAUCAAGAAUGAAAGUUAGGGGAUCGAAGACGAUCAGAUACCGUCGUAGUCUUAACCAUAAACUAUGCCGACUAGGGAUCGGAUGAUGUUAAUUUUUUAAUGACUCAUUCGGCGCCUUACGGGAAACCAAAGUGU